GACGAACCGUGCGAACGUUGUUCGGAUUCACUGGGCUUAAAGGGCGCGUAGGCGGGCGGCCAAGUCAGGGGUGAAAUCUUUCGGCCCAACCGGAAAAGUGCCCCUGAUACUGGCGGCCUCGAGGGGGGUAGGGGCAUGCGGAACUUCCGGUGGAGCGGUGAAAUGCGUAGAUAUCUGGAGGAACACCGGUGGCGAAGGCGGCGUUCUGGACUGCAACUGACACUGAGGAACGAAAGCCAGGGGAGCAAACGGG
rnacentral:rRNA from 1 species